rnacentral:rRNA from 1 species
UACGAAGGGGGCUAGCGUUGCUCGGAAUCACUGGGCGUAAAGGGUGCGUAGGCGGGUCUUUAAGUCAGGGGUGAAAUCCUGGAGCUCAACUCCAGAACUGCCUUUGAUACUGAGGAUCUUGAGUUCGGGAGAGGUGAGUGGAAACUGCGAGUGUAGAGGUGAAAUUCGUAGAUAUUCGCAAGAACACCAGUGGCGAAGGCGGCUCACUGGCCCGAUACUGACGCUGAGGCACGAAAGCGUGGGGAGCAAACAGG